AAGCACUUGCAGGUAUGCUACAGACCAGGCUCCUCAACAUCAAUCCGAGACGGAAGAUGAACCGGGAUGAAGCAGUUAGAUUGAGACAAGGCGGCCGGAAACUUUGAUGACCUCAAUGACACUGGCUAGGUGAAGGACAUCAAGAAAAUGGCAUCCGGUCACCAGACAUCAGCUCAUAAGCCACAACGUCAUCAACCAUUUUGCGCCAAAAAUGAAGCCGUUCACAUACCAUGGCAUCCUAAGCAGGCAGCACCACACUACUGUGCAACAGUGAGAGAGAGCGGGCAAGGACAAGUAAAAUGGACCUACACUACAGCAAGACUUUGACACUUCUCCACGUGAGAGGCAGCCAUCGCCCCCACCGUUGAGCAGUGUGUACCCAGUACCCCCAAAAGAGGAGAUGAUCCGACGCCAUCACAGCCGAUUUCCAAAAUUGUACACCAAACUCUGUAUGGGCGUGUGUGUGUGUGUGUGUGUGUGUGUGUGUGUGUGUGUGUGUGUGUGUGAGAUAUUGUAAAACUUUUCAGUCCUUCUUCUAUACUAUACAGUGUAUAAAUAUACAUGUGAAAACCUAAAUAUGCAUUAAAAACCAUUACUGAGGUUAAGAAAUGCAUUAUAACAAAUACAUCUGAUUCAGGUGUACUGUACAUUGAAAUGUCUUUAUUUGCCACAAAUACAUCACAUCCUGGAAACCUGUACAAUGUGUGGAUUCAAAGGUCUGCCAGAUCUUUGUGACGGCACAGGAUUGCAGUGGAACCCAAACAUAGCCUAGGAACUCCCACAUAGCGUAGGAACUCCCACGCCAUCUCACCAACUGCCGAUAUGCAGUAUGCCUGAAUUUCCUGUACAGCAAAGAAAUGUAGAGAUUGUGCCUUCAUCGAGAAUAGGUCAUUUGGAAUCACAACAAUUAUUCAAUUUACUUUGUGCGUGUGGUGUAGCUAUUGCUGUUAUUAUUAUGUUACUACUAGUGACCCAUUUAGUUGAGCUUAAUAGUCUACAUGACAUCUCUGCACUUGUGUUACCACUAUUGGGAUUGGCAGCUCCCUAAAUGAAAAUGAGAAAAACUUGCCCGGAUGAAAUGUUAUGAACUGUGUGCGUUGUGCUGCUUGCUGAAGUAACAUGACACCCACAUCACCUUCCAGAAAUAAAGUGUAUACAGGCUACCUAACCAGAGUCCUAGAGACCU